rnacentral:rRNA from 1 species
AGCCUGAACGCUGGCGGCGUGGCUAAGACAUGCAAGUCGUACGGUGUAGCAAUACACAGUGGCGAACGGGAGAGUAAUGAAUCGCUAAUGUGCCCCGGACUCUGGGAUAGCUAGUUGAAAGAUUAGGUAAUACCAGAUGACAUAUCUUUAUCGCAUGAUAGAGAUCUCAAAGGUCCGCCGGUCUGGGAGCAGGCGAUUUCGUAUCAGCUAGUUGGUGAGGUAACGGCUCACCAAGGCGACGACGCGUAGCCGGACUGAGAGGUUGGCCGGCCUCAUUGGGACUGAGACACUGCCCAGACUCCUACGGGGGGCUGCAGUAACGAAUCUUCCGCAAUGCACGAAAGUGUGACGGAGCGACGCCGCGUGUGGGACGAAGUCCUUCGGAUGUAAACCACUGUCAGGGUUACCAAGUUCUGAGGAGCCCCAGAGGAAGGGACGGCUAACUCUGUGCCAGCAGCCGCGG